ensembl:miRNA
GUAUUAGGUUGGUGCAAAAGUGAUUGCGGUUUUUGCAUUACUUUUAAUGGCAAAAACCACAAUCACUUUUGCAUCAACCUAACA